ACGAACGCUGGCGGCGUGCUUAACACAUGCAAGUCGAACGGAAAGGCCCUGCUUUUGUGGGGUGCUCGAGUGGCGAACGGGUGAGUAACACGUGAGUAACCUGCCCUUGACUUUGGGAUAACUUCAGGAAACUGGGGCUAAUACCGGAUAGGAGCUCCUGCUGCAUGGUGGGGGUUGGAAAGUUUCGGCGGUUGGGGAUGGACUCGCGGCUUAUCAGCUUGUUGGUGGGGUAGUGGCUUACCAAGGCUUUGACGGGUAGCCGGCCUGAGAGGGUGACGGGCCACAUUGGGACUGAGAUACGGCCCAGACUCCUACGGGAGGCAGCAGUGGGGAAUAUUGCACAAUGGGCGGAAGCCUGAUGCAGCAACGCCGCGUGCGGGAUGACGGCCUUCGGGUUGUAAACCGCUUUCGCCUGUGACGAAGCGUGAGUGACGGUAAUGGGUAAAGAAGCACCGGCUAACUACGUG
rnacentral:rRNA from 1 species